UACGGAGGGUGCGAGCGUUAUUCGGAAUUACUGGGCGUAAAGCGCGUGCAGGCGGGAGAGUAAGUCUGAUGUGAAAGCCCCGGGCUUAACCUGGGAAGUGCAUUGGAGACUGCUUUUCUUGAGUACUGGAGAGGAAGGGGGAAUUCCCGGUGUAGAGGUGAAAUUCGUAGAGAUCGGGAGGAAUACCAGUGGCGAAGGCGCCCUUCUGGACGGUUACUGACGCUGAGACGCGAAAGCGUGGGGAGCAAACAGG
rnacentral:rRNA from 1 species